UACGUAGGUGGCAAGCGUUAUCCGGAAUUAUUGGGCGUAAAGAGCGCGCAGGUGGUUGAUUAAGUCUGAUGUGAAAGCCCACGGCUUAACCGUGGAGGGUCAUUGGAAACUGGUCGACUUGAGUGCAGAAGAGGGAAGUGGAAUUCCAUGUGUAGCGGUGAAAUGCGCAGAGAUAUGGAGGAACACCAGUGGCGAAGGCGGCUUCCUGGUCUGUAACUGACACUGAGGCGCGAAAGCGUGGGGAGCAAACAGGAUUAGA
rnacentral:rRNA from 1 species